CUUGUACUCCCUCCGUCCCGAAUUACUUGUCGCAGGUAUGGAUGUAUCUAGAUGUGUUUUAGUUCUAGAUACAUCCAUUUCUUUGACAAGUAAUUUGGAACGGAGGGAGUAGUUG
rnacentral:pre_miRNA from 1 species